GACGAACCGUGCGAACGUUGUUCGGAAUCACUGGGCUUAAAGGGCGCGUAGGCGGCUUGCCAAGUCAGGAGUGAAAUCCUGCAGCUUAACUGUAGAAGGGCCUUUGAUACUGGCGAGCUCGAGGGAGGUAGGGGUAUGUGGAACUCCCGGUGGAGCGGUGAAAUGCGUUGAUAUCGGAAGGAACGCCGGUGGCGAAAGCGACGUACUGGACCUCUUCUGACGCUGAGGCGCGAAAGCUAGGGGGAGCAAACGGG
rnacentral:rRNA from 1 species